rnacentral:piRNA from 1 species
UAGUUAUCUUGGUGCAGUGAA